UUUUUUUUCGCUGCAAGAAAAAAAAACCUGCAGGAGGAAGUUGAAUUGAUGGUGGCGGUGUUGAAGGUUGCUAUAACUGAUUAACUAACUGCUCGGUGGCGUUGUUUUAAUUUGAUCAAGGGUGGCUUCACUUGAUGUGGCCUCUAUAUUUUCUGUUAAACAAGAUUCUUAGAUCUGACGGAGAAGACAGGGAAGAAAACAAUGGAGAUCACAUGAAUGUGGCAGCUGGACGCUGCCUUUUUGAGCUGCCAUCUGAUAAUCUAACUGGUCGUGAGGCAGCGAUGCCUCAAUCACAUUAUGUUCAAGUUCCGCAUAUUAACCAGCUGUUCUCUUGGGAUUGUGGACUUGCUUGUGUUUUGAUGGCUUUGACUACUGUCGGCAUUAAUGGUUAUAGUAUUCAGAACUUGAUCGAGCUUUGCAGCACAACCAGCAUUUGGACUGUUGAUCUGGCUUACUUACUGCAAAAGUUUUCUGUCAGGUUUUCCUAUUACACUGUAACAUUUGGAGCUAACCCAAACUACUCUGGUGAGACAUAUUACAAGGAACAUCUGCCUAGUGAUCUGGUUCGAGUAGAUAAGCUAUUCCAAAAGGCAGUGGAAGCAGGGAUCAAUAUACUGUGCAGGUCAAUCAGCAAAGAAGAAAUCUCUCGCUGGAUCAUGUCAGGGAAGUAUAUUGUGAUUGCUUUAGUUGAUCUGUGUAAAUUGAGUGGAUCUUGGGUUGGGGAUGUGAUCAUCCCUGGAUUUCAUGGCAAUGAUGCAGGAUACACAGGUCAUUAUAUUGUGAUAUGUGGCUAUGAUGCUGAAGCAGAUGAGUUUGAGAUUAGAGAUCCUGCAAGUUGUAGGGUCUGCGGAGGAUCACAUUCCCAUACCCAUGUCCAGAUUUUUCAAGAGAUCGAAGAGUCAGAUCAAUAUAGCUGGAGACUUCAGUGACCAAGCUGUUCGAUAUAUCCUAUCCUCCCAGUUUUCUUACAUCUUCUGUCUUCUUAUAGUUAUCAUUCCUCAAAGUCAGUUUCCUCUGCUACUUCUUUGAGACUUAUCUUGUUAUUUUCAGCCCAUAUUAUAAAAAAAUAUUGGUAUCCUUGUGAUUACAUGCAUUAUUUUUAUGUGAAAAGCUUUCUGACUUUUUUGUGUUCCAUGGAUCUUGUUGUUCUCCUUAGCUGAAUGUCUCAAUCGAGUUCCAUUAACAUCUUGAUUUCCCAUUGGCUAAAUGUAUUUACAGGUUGGAACCUUGUGGUUACUGAUAAAUAGUUGAUCUAACAGCUAUGGAUGAGAGAAGAGCAUACUUGGAAAGAUGAAACACAACAGGGUCUCAUCAAAGUCCCUUGAAGAAGCACGCAAGUCCUUUGGUACCGAUGAAGAUCUUCUUCUGGUAAUUUUUCUAUAAAACA